UAACAUAAUGUAGACAUCAGAUUUGGGAACUGAUAUUAGCCCGGUAGGACGGGGUGAUCUCACCCCACCCAGUUUGGAGAAAUUGGGAACUGACGGUACGCCAGCAGGUCAGGACGACCUGGCACGAGACACGAGGAAAACAGGAACCCACCAUAGAACGGAUACUUAUUUUUGCUUAUGCUUAACAAAAGAA